AAACGCUCCAAACAUCUCCUGCAGAAGCUGUGGCUACAAGGCAGGAGCACCGGAUCCUGGAAGAUCUCGCAGCACACUGGACAGGACAGAUCCUCUUCGGGCAGGCUUGUGGACAUCUUCUCUUCUAGCAGCUGAAGAGAAGGAGUGGUUUGAGCACACUCGACUAGUAAAACUAGAAGUGUUUUGAGUGAUCGGAAGAGCUGGUGACUGAACAUCCUCAUGCUUCAGUCUGUUCCUGGAGUCUGAUUUGAAUAGUAGGUGUGGUUUCACUGUUUACAUUUCUGCUAUGUCAUAUUAAAUGUAUUAUUAAUGCACUGUGUCUGUGUGUUUAUGUUUAUGCAGAGUUGAUGUGUAUUUAAUGUCUUAAUGCCAUAAAGACAUUUUAGUAUUUUUUUAUUAAAUGCAGUUGGAAUUCCUUGAGUGUUUCAAAUGCAAUCUGUAAAAAUAAAGCAAAUAAACAUCAGCAUGAUAAUGUUUCAUUGCAUUUUAGUAUUUAGGAGAACAACAAAUGUUAUGUUUAUGCAUCAUGACUUAAAUUAAAUUGUAAUCGUUUA